UGGGGAAUAUUGGACAAUGGGGGCAACCCUGAUCCAGCCAUGCCGCGUGAGUGAUGAAGGCCUUCGGGUUGUAAAGCUCUUUUGGCGGGGACGAUGAUGACGGUACCCGCAGAAUAAGCCCCGGCUAACUUCGUGCCAGCAGCCGCGGUAAGACGAAGGGGGCUAGCGUUGUUCGGAAUUACUGGGCGUAAAGCGAGUGUAGGCGGUUGCCGUAGUCAGGUGUGAAAGCCUUGAGCUCAACUCAAGAAAUGCACUUGAUACUGGGUGACUAGAGGACCGGAGAGGAUAGUGGAAUUCCCAGUGUAGUGGUGAAAUNCGUAGAGAUUGGGAAGAACACCAGUGGCGAAGGCGGCUAUCUGGACGGUUACUGACGCUAAGACUCGAAAGCGUGGGGAGCAAACAGGAUUAGAUACCCUGGUAGUCCACGCCGUAAACGAUGGAUGCUAGCCGUUGGCAGGCUUGCCUGUCAGUGGCGCAGCUAACGCUUUAAGCACCCGCCUGGGGAGUACGGCCGCAAGGUUAAAACUCAAAUGAAUUGACGGGGUCAUA
rnacentral:rRNA from 1 species